rnacentral:rRNA from 1 species
CAAAUCAGGUAGGAUUACCCGCUGAACUUAAGCAUAUCAAUAAGCGGAGGAAAAGAAACUAACAAGGAUUCCCCUAGUAACUGCGAGUGAAGCGGGAAAAGCUCAAAUUUGUAAUCUGGCGGUCUUGGGCCGUCCGAAUUGUAAACUAGAGAAGCGUUAUCCGCGCUGGACCGUGUACAAGUCCCCUGGAAUGGGGCGUCAUAGAGGGUGAGAAUCCCGUCUUUGACACGGACUACCAGGGCUUUGUGAUGCGCUCUCAAAGAGUCGAGUUGUUUGGGAAUGCAGCUCAAAAUGGGUGGUAAAUUCCAUCUAAAGCUAAAUAUUGGCGAGAGACCGAUAGCGAACAAGUACCGUGAGGGAAAGAUGAAAAGAACUUUGGAAAGAGAGUUAAACAGUACGUGAAAUUGCUGAAAGGGAAACGCUUGAAGUCAGUCGCGUUGGCUAGGGAUCAGCCUUACUCUGGUGGGGUGUAUUUCCUUGUCGACGGGUCAGCAUCAGUUUUGGUUGCUGGAUAAAGGCCAGGGGAAUGUGGCACCUUCGGGUGUGUUAUAGCCCUUGGUCAGAUACAGUGGCUGGGACUGAGGAACUCAGCACGCGCAAGCUGUGCUUAGGA